UUGGAGGGCAGUCUGGUGCCAGCAGCCGCGUGUAUUCCAGCUCCAUAGCGUAUAUUAAAGUUGUUGCAGUUAAAAAGCUCGUAGUUGAAUUUCGGGAUCAGAUUGUCGGUCGUGCCUCGGUACGCACUGGUAUUAUUGGUUCCUACCUCUCUGAAGAACCGCGAUGUCAUUAAUUUGGUGUCGUGGGGAAUCAGGACUGUUACUUUGAAAAAAUUAGAGUGUUUAAAGCAGGCUUACGCUUGAAUACAUUAGCAUGGAAUAAUGAAAUAGGACGUUUGAUUCUAUUUUGUUGGUUUCUAGGAUUGACGUAAUGAUUAAUAGGGAUAGUUGGGGGCAUUAGUAUUCAAUUGUCAGAGGUGAAAUUCUUGGAUUUAUUGAAGACUAACUACUGCGAAAGCAUUUGCCAAGGAUGUUUUCAUUAAUCAAGAACGAAAGUUAGGGGAUCGAAGACGAUCAGAUACCGUCGUAGUCUUAACCAUAAACUAUGCCGACUAGGGAUCGGAUGAUGUUAAUUUUUUAAUGACUCAUUCGGCGCCUUACGGGAAAC
rnacentral:rRNA from 1 species